rnacentral:rRNA from 1 species
AGAACGAACGCUGGCGGCAUGCCUAAUACAUGCAAGUCGAACGAACUCUUCGGAGUUAGUGGCGCACGGGUGCGUAACGCGUGGGAAUCUGCCCCUUGGUUCGGAAUAACAGUUGGAAACGACUGCUAAUACCGGAUGAUGACGAAAGUCCAAAGAUUUAUCGCCAAGGGAUGAGCCCGCGUAGGAUUACGCUAGUUGGUGAGGUAAAGGCUCACCAAGGCAACGAUCCUUAGCUGGUCUGAGAGGAUGAUCAGCCACACGUGGGACUGAGACACGGACCCAGACUCCUACGGAGGCAGCAGUAGGAUAGUUGACAAGUGGGCGAAAGCCUGGAAUCC